GUCUACGGCCAUACCACUCUAAAUGCGUCUGAUCUCGUCUGAUCUCAGAAGCUAAGCAGGGUCGGGCCUGGUUAGUACUUGGAUGGGAGAAAUAUCUACCAUGUGAAGUAUGUU
ensembl:rRNA 5S_rRNA 5S ribosomal RNA